rnacentral:rRNA from 1 species
AUUGUUUAAUCCUAGCAAUGUUCGAACGUUUUCUGGUGGUUUAACUCAUGCAAGUCAGAUAUUUAUAAAUAGAUUAAUAUUUUUAAUAUUAAUAAUAAAUUGAAGGCGUGCGGGCGAAGAUGAAUUAAUUAGAUACCUUAAUAAAAAUAUAAUAAUAAAUAUUGAUUAUUAAGAUUUGUUAAUUCUUUUUUAGGUAGUUGUUGUGGUAAUGGCGCAACAAGCCAAUGAUAAAUAGAAAUGAGCGAAAGCUUUAAUUUCCGCAAUUGGUUUUAAUAGACCGAUUAGUGACUUUUGUCACUGCUGCAGAGGAGAAUAUUGGGCAAUGUUCGAAAGAAUGACCCAGCUAACCAGAACUUUAGGAAAAAUGUCGUAAAGUAAGAUAAUGACAUAACUUUACUAAUAGUCCAAUCUAAGUAUCGUGCCAGCAGACGCGGUUAUACGAACUGGGCGAACGUUGAAUGAAUUAAUAGGUUUUAAGGAUCUGUAGGCUGUAAAUAAAAAUAGUAAAAAAUAAUAAUUAUUUUAUUUACUAGAAUUAAAUAGAGGAUAGUAGAAUGCUAGAAGUAGGGAUGAUAUCUUUUAAUAUCUAGUGGAAUACUAAAGGUGAAAACAACUAUCCAAUUAUUAAUUGACGCUGAGAGAUGAAAGUUUGGGUAGCGAUCCAGAUUAGCUACCUGAGUAGUCCAAACUGUAAACUAUUUACACUUAUUCUUUAGUUAUAUUUAUAAUUAGAGAAAAAGCUAAAUGCUGUGUGUGUAACACCUUGUUAGUAAUUUCUCAAGAUUGAAAUCAAAAGGAUUAGACCAUUCUUAAGACCCGGUGUGGAACAUGUUGUUUAAUACGACAAUACGCGUAAAAUCUUACCUCUUCUUGUAUAUUAAUUAUCUUAAAUAAUAUAUUUUAUUUAUUAAAUAUUAAUACAGGUGUUGCAUGGCUGUCGGCAGUUCGUGUCGUAAGAUGUCAGGUUGAGUCCGCCAACGAACGCAAUCCAUAUUUUUAAAAUAUAAAUAAAUAUAAUAUUAAUAUAUAAAUAUUAUAUAAAAAAUAAUUUAAAAAUAUCACUUUAAUAAAAAGGAUAAAAAUGGAAUACGAUAAGCCGUCAUGACCCUUAUGAAGUAGGGCUACAGACGUGUUACUAAAAUCUAACAAUAAGAUACGAAGCUAUAAAGAAAAUAGUGGAGUAAAUCUUAGAAAUGAGAUUAAAAAAGGAUUAUAGACUGAAAUUUGUCUAUAUGAAUCAGGAAUACCGAGUAAUCGUUAAUAAUAACGUAACGGUGAACUAUACAUUAGGAAGAUACUAACUGUCUAUCACAUCUUGGUUUUGUUAAGAACUGGAACUUGACAAAUAGAGUAUAGAGUAUAUAAUACUUGUUAAGGACAUAAUUAAUGGAACUAAGGUGAAGUUAUAGCAAGGUAGCCGUAAGGGAACUUGUGGCUG